rnacentral:rRNA from 1 species
UUCCUACGGGAGGCAGCAGUGGGGAAUAUUGCGCAAUGGGCGAAGGCCUGACGCAGCGACGCCGCGUGAGGGGUGAAGGUCUUCGGAUCGUAAACCUCUGUCAGCAGGGAAGAACGGUCACUGUGCUAAUCAGCAGUGAAUUGACGGUACCUGCAAAGGAAGCACCGGCUAACUCCGUGCCAGCAGCCGCGGUAAUACGGAGGGUGCGAGCGUUAAUCGGAAUUACUGGGCGUAAAGGGUGCGUAGGUGGUUUCUUAAGUCAGAGGUGAAAGGCUACGGCUCAACCGUAGUAAGCCUUUGAAACU